rnacentral:rRNA from 1 species
UACAGAGGGGGCAAGCGUUGUUCGGAAUUACUGGGCGUAAAGGGCGCGUAGGCGGCCGCCUAAGUCAGACGUGAAAUCCCUCGGCUCAACCGGGGAACUGCGUCUGAUACUGGGUGGCUUGAAUCCGGGAGAGGGAUGCGGAAUUCCAGGUGUAGCGGUGAAAUGCGUAGAUAUCCGGAGGAACACCGGUGGCGAAGGCGGCAUCCUGGACCGGCAUUGACGCUGAGGCGCGAAAGCCAGGGGAGCAAACGGG